GUGCUUGCUUUGGCAGCACAUAUACUAAAAUGGGAAUGAUACAGAGAAGAUUAGCAUGGCCCCUGCAAAAGGAUGAUGUGCAAAUUCGUGAGGCAUUCUGUAUUUUU